rnacentral:rRNA from 1 species
GAUGAACGCUAGCGGGAGGCUUAAUACAUGCAAGUCGAGGGGCAGCAGGCCGACUUCGGUUGGUGCUGGCGACCGGCGCACGGGUGAGUAACGCGUACACAACCUACCUUCAAGAGGAGGAUAGCCCUGGGAAACUGGGAGUAAUACUCCAUGUGAUUAAUGUUUAGAUUAGAGAUUAAUUAAAGCUUUCGGGUGCUUGAAGAUGGGUGUGCGUUAGAUUAGCUAGUUGGUACGGUAACGGCGUACCAAGGCUACGAUCUAUAGGGGGCGUGAGAGCGUGAUCCCCCACACGGGUACUGAGACACGGACCCGACUCCUACGGGAGGCAGCAGUAAGGAAUAUUGGACAAUGGGCGCAAGCCUGAUCCAGCCAUCCCGCGUGCAGGAUGACGGCCCUAUGGGUUGUAAACUGCUUUUAUUAGGGAAGAAACCCCUCUAUUGAUGGAGGGCUGACGGUACCUAAAGAAUAAGCACCGGCUAACUCCG